rnacentral:rRNA from 1 species
AUUGAACGCUGGCGGCAGGCCUAACACAUGCAAGUCGAGCGGAGCGGCGGACGGGUGAGUAAUGCCUAGGAAUCUGCCUGGUAGUGGGGGAUAACGUCCGGCAACGGGCGCUAAUACCGCAAACUAUAAGAUGAGCCUAGGUCGGAUUAGCUAGUUGGAGGGGUAAAGGCCUACCAAGGCGACGAUCCGACACUGGUCUGAGAGGAUGAUCGGUCAAACUGGAACUGAGAAACGGUCCAGACUCCAACGGGAGGCAGCAGUAGGGAAUAUUGGACAAUGGGCGAAAGCCUGAUCCAGCCAUGCCGCGUGUGUGAAGAAGGUCUUCGGAUUGUAAAGCACUUUAAGUUGGGAAGCGUUACCUACAGAAUAAGCACCGGCUAACUACGUGCCAGCCGCCGCGGUAAUAC